AGCCUAACACAUGCAAGUCGAACGGCAGCACAGUGAGAGCUUGCUCUCUGGGUGGCGAGUGGCGGACGGGUGAGGAAUACAUCGGAAUCUACUCUGUCGUGGGGGAUAACGUAGGGAAACUUACGCUAAUACCGCAUACGACCUACGGGUGAAAGCAGUGGGACCUUCGGGCCUUGCGCGAUUGAAUGAGCCGAUGUCGGAUUAGCUAGUUGGCGGGGUAAAGGCCCACCAAGGCGACGAUCCGUAGCUGGUCUGAGAGGAUGAUCAGCACACUGGAACUGAGACACGGUCCAGACUCCUACGGGAGGCAGCAGUGGGGAAUAUUGGACAAUGGGCGCAAGCCUGAUCCAGCCAUACCGCGUGGGUGAAGAAGGCCUUCGGGUUGUAAAGCCCUUUUGUAUGGGAAAGAAAUCCAGCUGGCUAAUACCCGGUUGGGAUGACGGGUACCCAAAGAAUAAGCACCGGCUAACUUCGUGCCAGCAGCCGCGGUAAUACGAAGGGUGCACAGCGUUACUUCGGAAUUACUGGGCGUACAAGGCGUG
rnacentral:rRNA from 1 species